GGGCUCUUAGUUAAACGGUAUAACAUGGCAUUCGCAUUGCUAAGUUGGGGGUUCAAUUCCCCCAGAGUCCACAA
rnacentral:tRNA from 1 species